rnacentral:rRNA from 1 species
CCCUAUGGGGUGCAGCAGGCGGAGUUACGCAAAGAGUCUCUUGAUCCGGCAAACUGGUUUGUAACGCCGGACAAUCGGGAACUGACCAUGAUGCUGCUUUGUCCGAAUGCGACAGAUGCUUUUGCCCGCAUGAUAAGCUCGCAGAUCGGUUUUUCCCGCAUUUCGCCGUAUCAGACCAGAAGCGGCGUGAACAAGGAAGGCGUGUUUUUCGGGCGCACUCAGAUUUUGGCACACAUCAUGCAGCGCGAACCUGCCAAUUAUCUGAUUAUCGGGGGACGGCAGAUCGGAAAAUCCAGUCUGCUGAAAGCAAUCCGGCGCAGGUAUCUGAAUGACCCGGAGGUCGAGUGUCAUUAUCUUGUUCUGUUCGGCGAGGACAUCCGCGAGCAUCUUGCAAAGGAAAUGAAUCUUGGGCUUGAUACGGAUUGGCGGGAGAGC